AAGUCUAGAGUCCUAGAUUUACAGAGUUCUAGACUUUAAGAGGUCUAGAAUUCUAGAAGUCUAGAGUUCUAGAAUUCUAGAGUUCGCGAGAGCUCAAGAGUUCGAGACUUCUAGAGUUCUAGAGUCCUAGAGUUCAAGAAUUCUAAAGUCCUAGUAUCCCAGAGUUCUAGAGUUCAAGAGUUCUAGAUUUCUAGAGUUCUAAAUUUCUGAGGUUCUAGAAUUCUAGAGUUCUAGAAUUCAAGAAUUUUUCAGAGUCCUAUAGUUCAAGAAUUCUAGAGUCCUAGAGUCCCAGAGUUCUAGACUUCUAGAGUUCUUCUUUUUUGUACAAAGAUUCUCGGACUAUUCAUCACUAUGUCUCACGUAUUCUGUAUACCGAUCCUUUGAAUUGGAUUCUCGAUAUAACACUUAUACCAGCGACAUCAACCUCAUCAGUGAUGUUUUUAAUAAAUUUAAAGAUCAACCAUUGUAAUAUUAUCGGAUGCUAGGACGUUUAGUUUGCGCUUGUUUUGUAUAUUGUAACCAUAUUGUUCCCAUUUUGAUUUGUAUUAUUAUCCUAUUAUCUACUAUAUUAUUAUUAUUAUUACUAUUAUCAUUAUCAUUAUUAUUAUUAUUAAUUAUUUAUUUAUUAAUUAUUAUUAAAUUAAAAAGAAACCCGACGCAUUUAUGCUAAGUAAAAUCUCAAACAGAAUACAUAUAUCGAAGUUUAUGGUAUCGAUUCCGAAGAAGAAAACAAGAACAAAUGUUUUUCUCCUUUCGUUUUUCUCGCAUCCAGUGGAACGCAACUUGUAUCGUUUUGCCCUAGAAUCCGAGAUUUACCGACGGGAUUUUAUUGGUCGAGAAGGCAGUUAAUCGGACGUUUCGAAACGAGCCGUUAUCCGCGUUUCGCGUCGCGCGAGUCGUUCCGUUUGGCUCGAGCGACGCGAAGGUUUGCUCGGUUUGGGUCCGAAGCUUUUCGUAUCGACGGAACGAACGGCGCGGUAAAUAAAGGAUAUUUCAAGAAACAGAUGCAGAAGCACGCGCGCGAGCUCGUCUCUAUCCGUUUAUUUACGAGGAUGUAAACGCAAUUACGUAUCGAGCGCGAAGAGGCCGAGAUCGGUAACGAGAUUGGUUCUCUUGAAUUUCGUAUAUCGUCUCGCGCGCGUUCGUCCGGGACGACCGAACGAUUUAUCACCGGAAUCAAUCCAAUCGCGUUCUCCUAGAGUGGGGGCAUCUCACGAUCGCUGAGCGACAAGCGGCGAGCGACGCGCGACGCGUCGUGGCUCUCGCAUAAUCGUUCGAUUUGUACUUGUCGGUUUUCGAAAACGACGCGUACUACGGUUUUCUCGCGUAUCGAUUCCAUUCACCGUACACUUUCCUCUUCGCGAGUCUUUUAAAUACCGCGGCCGUACUCGUUUCACGCCGUUACAAUACAUACGUGGAAGAAAACUGCCGCGAGACGGUUAGCUACACACAUACACGCACACACAAAGUUUGUAGUCUCUUUGAAACAUUGGCGAGAAUAAAUGUGCUUUCUGCGUGAACUACAACCGAUCGUUGCUCCUUCGGGGAAAUAAUAAUAAUAAUCGCUCGAGCCUCGGAUGCUGCGAUUUCGGUUAUUUUAGGUUAUAUUUUCGACUUGAUUAUAUUUUAAUCUAACCUAAUUUAUUUAUAUAUACCGGUGAAAGCCCAUUUUGUACAAUACAGAACUGAAAGUUAAUAUUAAUAUAAUAUAUGAAUAGAUUAUGUAAACUCGUUUCGAAUUGUGUAAUAUUGCCUGUAAAUAUGUAUGUCUAUUUCGUCGCUAUUGUCGUCAACAAUUUGAAGCGUCCCGUAAAAAGUUAAGGAAUCGCGUUGAAAAACCUGUUGCUACUGGUUUCGAAAGAAUCUCGACGAACGAACAAAUUUCGAAGAAAAUUUUGCACCAAAAAUACCGUCAAGCGAACCAAAUGGAUCACUGGACAAAAGGAUCGGCGAUAAUUUCAAGUGGUCGACAGAAUUUACUUCUUCAACAGUUAAGGAAACGCGUUGAAAAACUUGCUACUGGUUCCGGAAGAAUUUCGAACAAAUUUCGAACAAAUUUCGAAGAAAAUCUUAUACCAAAAAUAUCGUCAAACGAACCAAAUGGAUCACUGGUCGCAAGUCCCCGGAAAUAAUUAUCGGAUGGCAGUAGUCAGCAAGGAUCUUCGACGUUGGCAAGCGUUGCCAUUCGAUCCCCCUAACGUCCUCGAUAGGCUAUUUCGCGAGGCUCGACACCUUUCGCUAUACCGAUUGAACGCGCAACGCGUACUUGCAUUUUUUUCAUGCGAAUAUUUAAGCUUUCUCUCGGUUCCGUUGAAAUCGACGUUUUUUACGGCGCAGUCGAUUCGAUAUCCUACACGUUAUGUGUACUGUAAAAUUCCAAUGGAACUUCAAUUAUCCGGCAUGCUUGGAAUCAGAACAGAAUUGGAUAAUCAAAUAUGCCAGAUAGUUGGUCCACGCCUUUAUUUUCCUCCUUAUUAUCAUUAGCUACUUAUGGUCGAUUUGUGGUAUAUUCAUGCUCUAUUUACGGUCUACUUAUGAUUUUUUCAUUUUAUCUGGCAGCGAUAAACGCACGGAUCGAAUCUGUCGCUUCGGAAAAAUUUAUCUGCAGGAUGUUAGACGAAGUCUAGCAAUUCGAUGGUUAAAGAAAUAUUUUCGGGAAAGGUGCACUUAUUGUUAUAGAGAAAAUUGUAUACUUUGUUAUAGAAUAAAAAUUAUUCUUGCCAU